UGGGGAAUAUUGCACAAUGGGCGCAAGCCUGAUGCAGCCAUGCCGCGUGUAUGAUGAAGGCCUUCGGGUUGUAAAGCACUUUCAGCGGGGAGGAAGGCGAUAAGGUUAAUAACCUCAUCGAUUGACGUUACCCGCAGAAGAAGCACCGGCUAACUCCGUGCCAGCAGCCGCGGUAAUACGGAGGGUGCAAGCGUUAAUCGGAAUUACUGGGCGUAAAGCGCACGCAGGCGGUCUGUCAAGUCGGAUGUGAAAUCCCCGGGCUCAACCUGGGAACUGCAUUCGAAACUGGCAGGCUAGAGUCUUGUAGAGGGGGGUAGAAUUCCAGGUGUAGCGGUGAAAUGCGUAGAGAUCUGGAGGAAUACCGGUGGCGAAGGCGGCCCCCUGGACAAAGACUGACGCUCAGGUGCGAAAGCGUGGGGAGCAAACAGG
rnacentral:rRNA from 1 species